GACUAUACAAAUAAACGAACAACUUCAUAGUAUAUUCGUUGAAUCAUACAUUCCAACACAUUCAUACAUAAGCCAACUGUUCUUUGAAAGGGUUCAACAUACUUUGUGUCAUUCGACACUUGCUACAAUGUGCCUAAACACCUUGCCUUUAUUCUCACCAACCAGGUGAUGAAAUGUGAAGAAGGAACUCAUCCUUGUGCCACCAACCAGGUGAUGAAGUGUGAUGAAAGGUUACGAAGGAACUCACCUUCGUACCAUCAACCAAGUGAUGAAAGUAACUCACCAUUCAUUCCACUUACCAGAAGACGAAUGGUACAACUUGUACAUGUGAACUCCUAACAUUCACAAAUAAUCAAAAACCCUCAAGCUUGACAACUCAACUAGGGGAGCACUUAUGCCCAACAAGAGUUAUAGUUACCAACAAAGUCUUAUUGCAAGCCAACAACAACUUCAGUGCAUGGCAUACGAAGAUCAAGCUAUUUAACCCUCUUGCAUCUGCUUCAAACAUUUCCCCUCUGUAACAAUGCAAACAUUACAACUCCUAGAAAGUUUCACACACUCUUGAUCAAGACAAUGUGAAGCAAAACCAAUUUAUGGUGCCAACAAGAGCUUCAUCAAAUGAGUUCAACCACAAUUCUCAAAAGCUUCACACACUCUUGAUCAAGACAGUGUCAAGCAAAAUCAAUUUAUGAUGCCAAUAAGAGCUUCAUCAAAAGUGUUCAACCACAAUUCUCAAAAGCUUCACACAUUCUUGAUCAAGACAGUGUGAAGCAAAACCAAUUUAUGGUGCCAACAAGAACUUCAUCAAAGGAGUUCAACCACAAUUCCCAAAAGCUUCAUACAUUCUUGAUCAAGACAGUGUGAAGCAGAACCAAUUUAUGGUGCUAACAAGAGCUUUAUCAAUGGAAGGCAACCACAAUUCUCAAAAGCUUCACACACUCUUGAUCAAGACAGUGUGAAGCAAAACCAAUUUAUGGUGCCAACAAAAGCUUUAUCAAUGGAGGGCAACCACAAUUCUCAAAAGCUUCACACACUCUUGAUCAAGACAGUGUGAAGCAAAACCAAUUUAUGGUGCCAACAAAAGCUUCAUCAAUGAAGGGCAGCUACAAUUCUCAAACCUUCGAAGCAAAUUCAAGACUAUUUGAAGCAAAUUCAAUUUAUAUGGUUCAUCCAAACCUUCGAUUACUACAAGGUGUUGCUUGCUUCACAAUCUUUUGCUCAACAGUGUGGAAGCAAAAUUUGUAUAUGUUGUCUCUCCCACAUUUUCAAAUUUCUAGUUUCCCAAAAAAAAAAAAAAAAAAAGGGAAAUUCAACAAAGCUUCAUCAAUGGAGGACAACUACAAAUUCUCAAAAGCUUCACACUAUUUUGAUCAAGAUAGUGUGAAGCAAAAUCAAUUCAUAGUA
rnacentral:lncRNA from 1 species